CACGUAGGGGGCGAGCGUUGUCCGGAUUUAUUGGGCGUAAAGAGCUCGUAGGCGGUUUCGUAAGUCGGAUGUGAAAACUCCAGGCUCAACCUGGAGACGCCAUCCGAUACUGCGAUGACUUGAGUCCGGUAGGGGAGUGUGGAAUUCCUGGUGUAGCGGUGAAAUGCUCAGAUAUCAGGAGGAACACCGGCGGCGAAGGCGGCACUCUGGGCCGGAACUGACGCUGAGGAGCGAAAGCGUGGGUAGCAAA
rnacentral:rRNA from 1 species